rnacentral:rRNA from 1 species
GACGAACGCUGGCGGCGUGCCUAACACAUGCAAGUCGAACGGGGUUUAGUGGAAUGCGGCUUCGGCCAAAGGAAGCUAGACUUAGUGGCGAACGGGUGAGUAACGCGUGAAGAACCUGCCUUUCAGUGGGGGACAACAGUUGGAAACGACUGCUAAUACCGCAUAAUGUAUUUUAGUGGCAUCACUUGAAUACCAAAGCUUUAUGUGCUGAAAGAUGGCUUCGCGUCUGAUUAGCUAGAUGGCGGGGUAACGGCCCACCAUGGCGACGAUCAGUAGCCGGUCUGAGAGGAUGAACGGCCACAUUGGGACUGAGAUACGGCCCAG